GGACCCGCACAAGUAGCGGAGCAUGUGGUUUAAUUCGAAGCAACGCGAAGAACCUUACCUAAGCUUGACAUCCCAAUGACAUCUCCUUAAUCGGAGAGUUCCCUUCAGGGACAUUGGUGACAGGUGGGGCAUGGUUGUCGUCAGCUCGUGUCGUGAGAUGUUGGGUUAAGUCCCGCAACGAGCGCAACCCUUGUCUUUAGUUGCCAUCAUUAAGUUGGGCACUCUAGAGAGACU
rnacentral:rRNA from 1 species